UCCUGGGUGUCAUUUGUUAGACAAAUUUCAUGGUGUGAGCCAUCAUUGUGUAACAGCAUGUGCUAUUAAGAGCUAAGGUUUAGGAAGAAUCUAGUUGUGACUUGGAACUUCUCUUUUAAUUAUACACACAAUUAUUCUAGAGAACAAAUUAUAAAGCAUCUUGCAUUACUGUAUUAUGAGGGAAAAAAAAGCCUAUUUAGGCAAUAGGCUAAGUCCCAUCCACAAAACCAGUAAGCAGGAGGGUAACAGCCUUUCUGCACUUGGCCUUUGUCAUACGGCAUAGCAGGAGACACUGCAGUAUGUGCUGGGUGGAAAUCUCCUCUCAGUACAUCACUGGGCUCCUUGUUUAGAUAUACGUCCUCAAUAGCUUCUUAUUGUGAUGUCUCUGAAACACUGAACUGUUUUCAGUGGUGAAAUCAGGGUUCUUAGCCUACAAAUAUGAAGCCCAUGUAGGUCACUCUCCACUCCGAAUUCUUUUACAUCAUCACUUUCCUCUUCAAUAUCACCAUUUUCCUCAAAUGCUUUAACUUUUUGGGGUCAGAUUCAUGGAUUAGCAUAUUGUUUUAAAUGCUUGAUCUGUAGCAAUUUGCACCAUGGAAUUUGGUACCACCGUCCCAAU
rnacentral:lncRNA from 1 species